AAGUCGUAACAAGGUUUCCGUAGGUGAACCUGCGGAAGGAUCAUUAUAAGAUUUUCAUAUGUUAAAUUUAUUUAAUAUAUAAAAUUAUAUACAAAAUGUAUUCAAAACCCACACUCUUUAUAACCAUAAAAAAAAAUAUAAUAUAUUUAUAAUAUAAUAAAAAAACAACUUUCAACAACGGAUCUCUUGGCUCUC
rnacentral:misc_RNA from 1 species